AAAUAUGUUUAUGGGAGUGGUCAGCUCUGUGAUGUAUCUCUUACACUAAGAUUAAGCAAAAUUUUUACUUGAUGGGAGCAUUGCCUUGGUUAAUGUGUUGUGAUUUUUUUUUUUUUUUGAUCUGCUGAACACAAGCACUAAACUUUCCAGAGCUCCGUGUAGGAGUCUGAGCCCAAGUAUAUAUAAAGCAAAUAAGAAACCCAAGGCUUUUGAAUGGAUUUAGACAUCUUUGGCAGAAAAAUCAAUGAGGAAGAUUUUUAAACAUCGAGAUAUUGUAUCCCAAAUCAGACGCGUGGAAGCAAGAUCCCCAGGCUCUCUGGAUCCCACCUAGAGGAAAGCUUUUUCUAGAGGCAAGUGUGGAGAGUCACAAUUUAUAUGGAUGUGAGGGUAGCCUACUUUGACCUACUGCCCAUCGUUCUCCAGAGCAAUUUUCUUGAUCUUGCUGCCCUAGGGCCCUCCUCUUUAGGAGCUAUCCAAAGAGAGAGAGAGAUCACAAGAGGCAGAGAGGCAGGAAGAGGGAGAGGAGGAAGCAGGCUCCCCACCAAGCAGAGAGCCAGACAUGGGGCUCGAUCCCAGGACUCUGAGACCACGACCUGAGCGGAAGGCAGAGGCCCAAACCACUGAGCCACCCAGGCGCCUCCCAAGAAUUCCCCAUUCUCCUUUGAAUUUGCUUUGUUUCCUUGUCAAAUAUUAGUUGACUGUAUAUGGAAGGGUUUAUUUCUGGGCUCUUGACACUAACCCUUUGGUCUAUGUGUCUGCAUUUAUGCCAGUACCAGACUGUUUUGAUUACUAUAGGUUUGAAAUCAGUAAAUGUGAUAUUUUCAGCUUUGUUCUUUAUCAGGAUUGACUUUAGAGUUCUGAAGUCUCUAACAUUAACAUGGAUGGCACUGGAGGAGAUUCUGCUGAGUGAAAUAAGUCAACAGAAUCAAUUAUCAUAUCGUUUCACUUACUUGUGGAGCAUAAGGAAUAAUAUGGAGGAUAUUAGGAGAAGGAAAGGAAAAGUGAAGUGGUUGAUAUCAGAGGGGGAGUCAAACAUGAGAGACUGUGGAUUCCGAGAAACAAACUGAGGAUUUUAGGGAAUAGGGAUGGGUGAGGCCGGUGGUGGGUAUUAAGGAGGGCUUGUAUUGCAUGGAGCACUGGCUGUUACAUGUAAACAAUGAUGGAACACUGAAUCAAAAACUAAUGAUGUAUUGUAUGGUGACUAACAUAGCACAACAAAAAUUUGAAAAAAAAAAAGACUGAUGAGUAUCUAAAUGGAGUCUUUAAAUAAUCAAAUUGGAUUUAAAUUAUUUCGUUUUGUUUCAGCUUUGUUGAGGUAUAAUUGACAAAAAAAAUGUAAGAUACUUAAAUGUACAACACAAUGCUUUGACUGAUGUAUAUGUUGAGAAAGGAUAUACUUUUUCCUUUUUGGUCAUGUUUUCUCAGGCUGAAUGCAGGAUGAACAAAUUUGGAAAAAAAUAAUUGUAAGAUAUUAAGGUACUCUGUGAAGAAAAUGGCCAUUUUGUAGAAUAAAAAUUGACAGAA